rnacentral:rRNA from 1 species
CCUACGGGGGGCAGCAGUGGGGAAUAUUGCACAAUGGGCGCAAGCCUGAUGCAGCCAUGCCGCGUGUGUGAAGAAGGCCUUCGGGUUGUAAAGCACUUUCAGCGGGGAGGAAGGCGUUAAGGUUAAUAACCUUGGCGAUUGACGUUACCCGCAGAAGAAGCACCGGCUAACUCCGUGCCAGCAGCCGCGGUAAUACGGAGGGUGCAAGCGUUAAUCGGAAUUACUGGGCGUAAAGCGCACGCAGGCGGUCUGUCAAGUCGGAUGUGAAAUCCCCGGGCUCAACCUGGGAACUGCAUUCGAAACUGGCAGGCUAGAGGCUUGUAGAGGGGGGUAGAAUUCCAGGUGUAGCGGUGAAAUGCGUAGAGAUCUGGAGGAAUACCGGUGGCGAAGGCGGCCCCCUGGACAAAGACUGACGCUCAGGUGCGAAAGCGUGGGGGGCAAACAGGAUUAGAUACCCCGGUAGUC